rnacentral:rRNA from 1 species
AUUGAACGCUGGCGGCAGGCCUAACACAUGCAAGUCGAGCGGAUGAAGGGAGCUUGCUCCUGGAUUCAGCGGCGGACGGGUGAGUAAUGCCUAGGAAUCUGCCUGGCAGUGGGGGAUAACGUCCGUAAACGGGCGCUAAUACCGCAUCCGUCCUGAGGGAGAAAGGGGGGGAUCUUCGGAGUCACGCUAUCAGAUGAGCCUAGGUCGGAUUAGCUAGUUGGUGGGGUAAAGGCUUACCAAGGCAACGAUCCGUAACCGGCCUGAGAGGAUGAUCGGUCACACUGGAACUGAGACACGGUCCAGACUCCUACGGGAGGCAGCAGUGGGGAAUAUUGGGCAAUGGGCGAAAGCCUGAUCCAGCCAUGCCGCGUGUGUGAAGAAGGUCUUCGGAUUGUAAAGCACUUUAAGUUGGGAGGAAGGGCAGUAAGUUAAUACCUUGCUGUUUUGACGUUACCAACAGAAUAAGCACCGGCUAACUUCGUG